rnacentral:rRNA from 1 species
ACCUACGGGAGGCAGCAGUGAGGAAUAUUGGUCGAUGGUCGGGAGACUGAACCAGCCAAGCCGCGUGAGGGAGGAAGGUACAGAGUAUCGUAAACCUCUUUUGUCAGGGAACAAAGGCGGGGACGUGUCCCCGGAUGAGUGUACCUGAAGAAAAAGCAUCGGCUAACUCCGUGCCAGCAGCCGCGGUAAUACGGAGGAUGCGAGCGUUAUCCGGAUUUAUUGGGUUUAAAGGGUGCGCAGGCGGUCUGUUAAGUCAGCGGUCAAAGCCCGGGGCUCAACCCCGGCCCGCCGUUGAAACUGGCAGG